AUUGAACGCUGGCGGCAUGCCUUACACAUGCAAGUCGAACGGCAGCACGGGAGCAAUCCUGGUGGCGAGUGGCGAACGGGUGAGUAAUAUAUCGGAACGUGCCCAGUCGUGGGGGAUAACGUAGCGAAAGCUACGCUAAUACCGCAUACGAUCUAUGGAUGAAAGCGGGGGAUCGCAAGACCUCGCGCGAUUGGAGCGGCCGAUAUCAGAUUAGGUAGUUGGUGAGGUAAAGGCUCGCCAAGCCGACGAUCUGUAGCUGGUCUGAGAGGACGACCAGCCACACUGGGACUGAGACACGGCCCAGACUCCUACGGGAGGCAGCAGUGGGGAAUUUUUGGACAAUGGGCGCAAGCCUGAUCCAGCAAUGCCGCGUGCAGGAUGAAGGCCUU
rnacentral:rRNA from 1 species